CACGUAGUUAGCCGUGACUUCCUCGCCGGGUACCAUCACUCAGAAAGCUUUCCACUCUUUCUGCCUUUUGUCCCCGGCAACAGAGCUUUACGAUCCGAAGACCUUCCUCGCUCACGCGGCAUUGCUCGUUCAGUGUUCCCCCCAUUGACGAAAAUUCCCUACUGCUGCCUCCCGCAGGAGUCUGGGCCGUGUCUCAGUCCCAGUGUGGCCGUCCGCCCUCUCAGGCCGGCUAUGCAUCGUCGCCUUGGUGAGCCGUUACCUCUCCAACCAGCUAAUGCACCGCAGGUCCAUCUGCAUGCGGGACUCUUGUCCCCUUUCCAAAAAGAGAUGCCUCCUCUUUGCUCAUCCGGUAUCAGUCCUUCCGUUUCCAGAAGUUCUCCCGCUCAUGCAGGCAGGUUCCCUAGUGUUACCUCUACCCGUUCGCCACUCAUACUACCGAAGAUACUUCCGUUCGACUUGCUAUGUUAUUAGGCAGUCGCCCG
rnacentral:rRNA from 1 species